UGGUGGGGCACUCUAAGGAGACUGCCGGUGACAAACCGGAGGAAGGUGGGGAUGACGUCAAGUCAUCAUGGCCCUUACGGCCUGGGCUACACACGUGCUACAAUGGUCGGUACAGAGGGUUGCCAAGCCGCGAGGUGGAGCUAAUCCCAAGAAAACCGAUCGUAGUCCGGAUCGCAGUCUGCAACUCGACUGCGUGAAGUCGGAAUCGCUAGUAAUCGUGAAUCAGAAUGUCACGGUGAAUACGUUCCCGGGCCUU
rnacentral:rRNA from 1 species